AAAGUCGUAACAAGGUAACCGUAGGUGAACCUGCGGUUGGAUCAUUACAAAAUUGGUUUCUUACCAAAACACUGUGUGCACCAUAACUGUUCUUGGCAGCGAACUACUCGGUACUGAGAGUUUUUCAAGGGUUCUGGGUGUCAGUAUGUAAGAGUACGAGCCCAGAUCGCAUGUCACAACUACUCGGUAUUGACCUGCCGAUCGCUGCCGCAUGUCCAAACCUUGUAUUACAAAAUUAUAGUCUGAAUCAGUUCACCACAAAGUGAAAUGAAAAACAACUUUUGACAACGGAUCUCUUGGCUCUC
rnacentral:misc_RNA from 1 species